rnacentral:rRNA from 1 species
UACGUAGGGCGCAAGCGUUGUCCGGAAUUAUUGGGCGUAAAGAGCUCGUAGGUGGUCUGUUGCGUCCGCUGUGAAAACCCAGGGCUUAACCCUGGGCUGGCAGUGGAUACGGGCAGACUAGAGGUAGGUAGGGGAGAAUGGAAUUCCCGGUGUAGCGGUGAAAUGCGCAGAUAUCGGGAGGAACACCGGUGGCGAAGGCGGUUCUCUGGGCCUUACCUGACACUGAGGAGCGAAAAGCGUGGGGAGCGAACAGG